UUGUCCUAACUUGCAUUAUGAUAAAACUCGUUUAUCGAUGAACGUCAAAAGAAGUAAACAAGCAACGAGCUGCCCCACGCAAAAAUAUUGCAUAGGAGAUAUUAUUACUUUCUCGCCUCUUCUCGGAUACUACCUAACAGGUGGAUUUUACCUCGCCUGCCUGCAACAGAAAUCGAUCUAGGAAAGCAGGGGCAACUGGAAUGUCAGCCAACCACCGCUGGCUUUAGCGGUCAACUGCGGCAAACCCAUUGAUCCAUCCAAUGGACGAUGUUCAGGAAACGACUAUCGCUAUCAGGGAGUUGCUCGGUGUAGAUGUGAUGCUGGAUACUACAUGAAAGGCCAAUUUGAUAUAACAUGCAACGCUAAAGCAGAAUGGUCUCCACCCCCACCAACAUGCAAAAGGGUCUUUUGCCCGCAUCUGACGUAUAAUACAACUCGCUUAUGGACGAAAGUGAAAAAAAUGUUCUACGGGAAGGUUUUGCGUGGGUGAUAUCGUUACGUUCCUGCCUCGUCCUGAUUACUACCUGAAAGGUAGCCUUCACCUCAAAUGCUUGACACCGAAAUCAGUCUACGAAAAGAUAGGCAACUGGAAUUCGAGCCAACUACCGCAAACAUUUGGUA